rnacentral:rRNA from 1 species
AGAGUUUGAUCCUGGCUCAAGAACGAACGCUGGCGGCGCGCCUAAUACAUGCAAGUCGAGCGAGAAGGUGUAGCAAUACACUUGUAAAGCGGCGAACGGGUGAGGAAUGCAUGGGUAACCUACCCUCGAGUGGGGAAUAACUAGCCGAAAGGUUAGCUAAUACCGCAUACGUUUCCGGAACUUCGGUUUCGGAAAGAAAGCAAUACCGUGGGUAUUGCGCUCCUGGAUGGGCUCAUGUCCUAUCAGCUUGUUGGUGAGGUAACGGCUCACCAAGGCUUCGACGGGUAGCUGGUCUGAGAGGACGAUCAGCCACACUGGCACUGCGACACGGGCCAGACUCCUACGGGAGGCAGCAGUAAGGAAUAUUGCGCAAUGGACGAAAGUCUGACGCAGCGACGCCGCGUGGGGGAUGAAGGUCUUCGGAUUGUAAACCCCUUUCGGGAGGGAAGAUGGAGUGGGUAACCACUUGGACGGUACCUCCAGAAGCAGCCACGGCUAACUUCGUG